AUAAAAGUGGAUUUGAGUAAAAGUGGCUAAAUAAAUGUGAUUAGAGACCAGUGAGUGUAAGCAUUUUUGUCACUUUUGUGUCCACACUCAUGUUGUGUAAUUCUGUGUUAUGCAGCCUUCGACAGCAGUGUGUUUGUUCUGCAGGGUUUCAGUCAGAACGUUCCACCUCUCAUGGCUGCUAAUGGCAGGUGUGCAUGCCUCUGCAUUAAUCAGGGUGCUGUGAACCUGCAGUUUAAUCGCAGAGGAAGCCGAGCAGGUAAUUACUUUUGAAUCUCUAAUUGCGCAGACAAGGAGAAAGAAAAACACCAGGCAGGGAGGCAGCCAUGGACGGAGAUCACAUGUAGCCUACUGCUGACUCCUGGGUACACCUUUGUCCCUGAGUGUCCCACUGAGCUGGUUUAGAGCAUCAGGAUCUGGCUUAAACACUGGCUUAUCAAUACAGAUGCUUCUAGGAGGCUCCAGGGCUGAGGACCUUUGAGGACACUAAAAUGACGACCUGACGACCAAAAAGUAUUUUCUGGAGCGUUCUACUGUGGAGUUGGCUGUGGGAGACUGAACUUCAUCCUGUUGUUACCAGAAUAAAUGGCUGGUUGGAGCUAAAAGUGCCACAUCUAUUACGCAAUGCAAGAGAGAGUAAGUAACUGCGACACAGGCAACCAGCGGAGACUCCAGGCAGUUAAUAGUCGUAAACCAACAUUUUUACACUUUGGUUUUGUACAGAUUAAACAAACAAGAUACAAAGUGUAAGUGAGCUUUAGAGGUGCUGGUAGG